rnacentral:rRNA from 1 species
CCUACGGGAGGCUGCAGUGGGGAAUAUUGGACAAUGGGCGAAAGCCUGAUCCAGCCAUGCCGCGUGUGUGAAGAAGGCCUUCGGGUUGUAAAGCACUUUCAGUGGGGAAGAAAGCCUUGGGGCUAAUACCCUCGAGGAAGGACAUCACCCACAGAAGAAGCACCGGCUAACUCCGUGCCAGCAGCCGCGGUAAUACGGAGGGUGCGAGCGUUAAUCGGAAUUACUGGGCGUAAAGCGCGCGUAGGCGGUCUGAUAAGCCGGUUGUGAAAGCCCCGGGCUCAACCUGGGAACGGCAUCCGGAACUGGCAGGCUAGAGUGCAGGAGAGGAAGGUAGAAUUCCCGGUGUAGCGGUGAAAUGCGUAGAGAUCGGGAGGAAUACCAGUGGCGAAGGCGGCCUUCUGGACUGACACUGACGCUGAGGUGCGAAAGCGUGGGUAGCAAACAGGAUUAGAUACCCGGGUAGUC